rnacentral:rRNA from 1 species
AUUGAACGCUGGCGGCAGGCUUAACACAUGCAAGUCGAGCGGUAACAGAGAGAAGCUUGCUUCUCUGCUGACGAGCGGCGGACGGGUGAGUAAUGCCUAGGAAUCUGCCUAGUAGUGGGGGAUAACUUGCCGAAAGGUAAGCUAAUACCGCAUACGUCCUACGGGAGAAAGGAGGGGACCUUCGGGCCUUACGCUAUUAGUUGAGCCUAGGUCGGAUUAGUUAGUUGGUGAGGUAAUGGCUCACCAAGACCGCGAUCCGUAACUGGUCUGAGAGGAUGAUUAGUGACACUGGAACUUAGACACGGUCCAGACUCUUACGGGAGGCAGCAGUGGGGAAUAUUGGACAAUGGGGGAACCCUUAUCCAGCCAUGCCGCGUGUGUGAAGAAGGUCUUAGGAUUGUAAAGCACUUUAAGUUGGGAGGAAGAGCAGUUAACUAAUAUUUGACUGUUUUGACGUUACCGACAGAAUAAGCACCGGCUAACUUCGUGCCAGCCGCCGCGGUAA